GCCCGUACCGGAACCGGAACAUGCGCUGACGCGCGGGACGGAGGGGCGGGUACAGCCGGUACGAGCGGGUCGCGGCCCGGUCCCGUCCGGCCGCCGUUACCGCGACCAUGUCGGCGGCGCUGGACCUGCGCUCGAAGGAGGAGAAGGACGCGGAGCUGGACCGGCGCAUCGCGGCGCUGCGCAGGAAGAACGAGGCCAUCAUCCGGCGGUACCAGGAGAUCGAGGAGGACCGCAAGAAGGCUGAGCAGGAGGGGGUGGCAGUGACCACCCUGCACCGGGCUCGGGACCCCUCCGGUGCCACCCAGGAGCAGCGCCCGGGGAAAGAGAAGAAGCCGCCGGGGGCCCCCCGGCUCGGCCGCGGCUCCAGGCCCCCCGGGCCCCGUCCCAGCGGCCGCCCCCCCCGGGGACACCCCCCCGGUGACCCCGCUUGGGAGGGGGCCGGGCCCAGCGCCGGGGACUGGCGGCCGCGGGGCCGGGGACUGGUCAAACUGGUGGCGAGGGGCAGCGCCGGCCCCAGCCAGGCCUCCAAGUGGGAGCAGCGCCGGCGCCAGAACAUCGAGCGCAUGAAUGAGGAGAUGGAGAAGAUCGCGGAGUACGAGCAGAGCCAGAGGGACGGGCUCCCGGAGAAGAACCCGGUGCGGAACUUCCUGGACGACCCUCGCCGCUCGGGCCCAUCCCAGGAUUCCGACCGGAGGGAUGGGAGCCGCCGCCACGGCCGCAACUGGGGGGGGCCAGACUUCGAUAAGGUCAAGACAGGGAUGGAGCGGGACCGGAUGUGGCCGAGCCCCGGCCGCCACGCGGGCGCCGGGGACAUGACGCUGUCCAUGACGGGCCGGGAGCGCGCCGAGUACCUGCGCUGGAAGCAGGAGCGGGAGCGCAUCGACCGGGAGCGGGUGGCGCGGCACCGCAAGCCCGGCGGGCAGUGGCGGCGCGAGUGGGACGCCGAGAAGUCCGACAGCAUGUUCCUGGAGGGCUCCGCGGCCGCUCCCGCCUGGGACUCGGGCUCGAGGGAGGAGCUCCGGCGCCCGGCUCCCAAACCCCCCACCCUGGGCGAGUUCCUGCCCCAGCAGAAGCCACGGGGCCGGGGCCGGGGCCUCGGGGCCAAGUCCUACAGCAUGCACGACAACCGCUGGGAGGAGAAGGAGCCAGAGCCAGCGCCCGCGGCCGAGAGCUGGGAGACAGAGGAAACACCAACCGAGCCCCCCCUGGAGCCCCCCCAUUCCCUGACCCCCGAGGAGGAGGAGGAGGAGGAGGAGGAGGAAGAGCAAUGGGAGGAUGUCAGCGAAGAGGAUGAGGAUGAAGAUGGCAGCGAGGAGGAGGAGGAAGAGGAGGAGGAGGAGGAGGACGACGGCAGCACAGGGUCACUGAACAAGGAGGAAGCACCCCCCAGGCUGAGCCCCCUGGAGUCCCCCCAGAGGGAUGAAGUGAGGCUCGACGCGGAGCAGGAGGCGGAGGAUGAGAUAAGAGAAGCCCUGGAUCCGGCGCCCGGCACCGUGGAGAUCACGGACUUCCACCGGGUGCGUUUCCGUAAGCACUCGCCACCUCCGGCCGGGCACUAGCGGGUCCCGCGCCCGCCGUGGGGCUCUGUCUGUCUGUCUGUCCUCCCUCCUCUGCUUCCCGGCGCUCCCGCUGACAGACUGCCUCCUCCUGCACAACACCCGGAGCUGCCGCCUCUCGCUCCCGGACCACCAGGCUCUCCGCCGGCCCCGAGCGGCCGCUCCGGCCCCGGGCUCGCUCCCGCCGUGAUCCCGGCAGCACCUGGACACUGGGAGCCUCAGGAAGCACCGGGAAGGAGGGAGGGAGGGAGGGAAGACCCCCCCCCCGCUCCCCCCCACAUCCCUCGGGAAGCUGCGGUGCCGGCGCUGGAGCCGGGAUGCGCCGUCGGUCAUUGAAGGUUCCAAAGGGGCUCUGGGGGCUCCGGCUGUGCUGGACCCGCCGGGGGGGCGACACGGACACCCCCGAUCCUGGCCCGUGCCCCGGAGCCAGGUGCGGGGGGGGGGGGACACCCCAGUUCUUUGUUAAUAAACGUCUACAACAGC